rnacentral:lncRNA from 1 species
UUGCUUGAAGGAAGUGAUAUUAGGCAUGGAUUGAAAGGAGCAGGGCUAUCUCUUUACAAGCAUCAAAUGAAUAUUUAAUAACAUAACAACAAUUACCUGAAAUGUCAAUAUACAAUAAUUAAAUUGAAGGAUCAUCAUCUAAAUUCUAAAAGUAGCAACUCAAGUCUGAUUACGCAGACCAACUUAGCAACUACCGGGUCUUUGGAUCUAUUCAUUUUCUUUUUAACUCUAAUUUAUUUCUUAAUUUUUUUUUGGUUCUCAAAGUUGAAUGGAAAAAAAUAAAAUUGUGAUUAAUUUUUAUUUUUGGUGAUCAAUGAAAUCGACCAUUCGGCUGCCACUCCUUUCCAGGCGGUGAAAUCACCAAUUCAAGUAGCAAAUGGAAAUUUGGGAGGAGGACCACCUUCAAGUGAAGAAUUAAAACAAACUCAGAGUAGUCCUCUAAUCGAGGAAGGCAAUAUUUUAAAGGGAGUUUGAUUUCACUUUGUGGGACUAGAUGCAGCAAUAAAGAUACCCCUACUGAUUGUGACAAUUCUGCGAGGCCCUUUCUAUAUGCAUAUCUUGCUUUAUAUUCUUGCUUGUUUAAUGGCAUUUCCUCUAUUUAAACCCUAAUGCAAUGAUUUAUUAUCCAAUCUCAUUGGUCUAUUAAAGCGAUUGUAUUUAAUAAAUUAAAUAAUUGGUUUAAUGGAGAUAAGAUAAAGAAAUUGUGACAAAUUAUUUUAAGUCAUUACUUGCAAUGCUGAAGGAUAAUAUAGCUUCAAAUCUAGCUGGAAGAUUUUAUUAUUUUGGGUUUUUUGUUAACUUUUAUAACUUGCAGAACUAGAAUUGGAUUUUAAUCAUGCAUUGAGCACCCACUACAGCAUAAUAUUAAUACAACACUUGCUUUCAUCCUUGAGAUCUGUAUUGUUCUUGCUGUCAAUCAUGACAUGUUAACUAAUGUGGUUAUAAGGUCUUUGGUGCUUGCAAUCAUACACUUUUUAGCAAGAUCCUCUUAGCUUGAUUUGACUCUUCACUCUUCAUAAUUACUAGAUAAUCAGCUCCAUGUUCUUUUGGUCUAAGUGUUUAUUUUUCAAUUAUAUGGACUGUAUCAAAGUAUGUCAAGAAAAUUAGUUCCAAAUUCUCUUGGUUAGUGUUUAUGUUUUUGGUAUAUGGACAUUAUUAAAGUAAAACUAGGAUUUAAAACCACCAGAUCAAACAGUUGACAUCUUUAGUAUAUGGAUAUUAUGUUUUUAGUAUAUGGACAUUAUGAGUGGCAAGCCAUUUAUUUGAGAAAUUAACAUCUUUCUCUGGCCUUUUCUGAUUGUAUUUAGUGUCGAUUUUUAUUGUACCUGUCAUUUAUCUUUGUUCCUCACGUGUUAGAUAGGUGCUGCAAGAUCCCUUUCUUUAUUUCCCACUCAUUAUGGUUUGUAUUGCCUUAUUUUAAGGAAUAGAGUUCUAGUGCAGCAAGUGCACUUGCACAGCAGCAAUGCUGCAAGUGCAGUAGUGUAGUGUGCAAGUGCAGCAAUGCUGCAGUGCACAGCGCACUUGCAGCAAGUGCAUCAGCAAGCUGCACUGCACUUGCACAGCAACAAUGUUGCAAGCUUGCUGCUACACUUGCACCUAAAAUUUAAAGUCUUCCACCUAGCCCUCCUAUCUUGAAACCAUAUAGUUAUCUGCCUCGGCUAAAGUCCUAAGGCCUUAGCCAACUACAUUUUCCUGUCAGGUUCAAGCUUAUUCCCCAUCUCAAAGCUCUUCUCAAGUGUCUUAACCUGCUUCAAGUUUAGCAUCUUCUUCUCUCCUAUACAUUGUGAUGCAUAGCAAGUGCAGCUUGCUUUUACUGCACUUGCAUCAAGUGCACUGUGCACAACAGCACUUGCUGCAGUUGCAGCUACUGCUGUGCCAGCAGCACUUACUGUGGGGACUGAAAAUUUUUUUUUCUGAGAUUAUUUGUGGGUUAAAGUGAUGGUUCAGAAUUGGACUAAGUUCUUGUGUUCCCAAAUCAGAAAUGUGUCUCUGUUUUUAUGCUUUUGUUGGUCUUUUCACACCAAUUGAUAGUUCUAAAUUAAAAUGAAAUAUUUUUUCUUAAUCUUUUUUUCAUCUCACAGGUAUGAUCUGCACUAUUUUAUAUGUUUACAUUGUAUUUUAGACAGGGGCUGCUAUUUCCAAGUUGCAAACAUUUUUCCACUUUAGUAAUUGCUAUACACUGCUCUAUGUAUGAGUAUAAGCUUUUUCCUUGAAGACUAUUCUAAUUAGAAUUCAGAAUCAAUUAUAUUACAGAAUUUCCAUAGUCAAUUUUACCAAUCAAAUAAUCAACAACUUCAAUUCUAAGCUAAGGAAAACGUAUAAAACACAUUAAUUUAGAGACUUAUAGGUCAAAGAUAUUUUCAAACUUUGAACAGAAUUAUAUAUUUCUCUCCUAGUUAUUACAACAUCAAUCACCUAAUUAUAGGGUCAUUUGAUAGGUCUUAAGAACAUUUUCAAGUGAGGUUAAAAAAAGUACUUAUUCAUAUGAAUAAUGACUUUUUUGUUAUUAUUACAUAUAAGAUUAAUUUUUAAAAAAUAUAUUUAUUUACAUUUAUGUAUAAUUAAUUAUUUAAAAACUAGUAUUUAUAUGAACAUGUGUUUUAUUUACAAGAGGAUGAACCUUUCAUUGAACAAAAGAGCACAAAACAAAAUAAAAAAAUUCCAGAUAUGAAAGAAUCAACAAAUAUCAAGUAAUUAAUCCCCACACGUUUUGGUCAUCGUCUGAGACUAACUAGGAGGAAAAUGAACAUAAAGCUCUCAACUUGGCAAAAUCCAUUAAGGAAACUACCAAUAUCAAUAAGCGAGCCAUCUUCAUAUCUGUGCUAAUCCUCAAUUCACACUUAGAAUAAUAAAAUUUGCAUGCUGACACGAAAUUAAACAGUUGUGAUAAAUCCAACGAAAACAAACAGUAUAUGCAAAAACCCGCGAAACAAAAGCUAAAUUCAUCAUCAAUGCACAAGAAGAUUGCGAAAGCAUUGGAUAAAAAAUGAAUUAUAGUUCAUAAACAACCAUCGAUAUAAACAAGGGGACAUACAGAGAAAAUAAUUAAAUUAAAAAUUUACAAGAAAAAAAAGCACAAACCUCAUUCAAAAAUUAGGGUUUAGAUUAAUCUCCCUCUUUAUCAAACUCCGUUGAGACUGUAGCUUUCGUUCUCCCUCACCAUUUUCCGAUUAUUUUCAGUCCUCUCGCUCUCCAAAAUCUCACACUCUCUAAAAUAAACGAAGCUAUAGCUGAGCUGAGAUAGAGUGUUGGAGGACUUGAAAUGGCGGCUUUUGAACAACCAAAGAUGUUAUUUUCCUUUGGUUUUGGGUAUUUCCCUUUCGAAGAUGGACUGGCUGGGAAAAAAUACGAAUCGCCAGGGUUUAGCAACGACACAACAGUAGCGAUGGAGCUUCUUCACGGGUGAGGGCGACAGCACAAUGGUGCCUUGUGUAUUCUCAGGCGACAGCAGUAGGAGUAAACAAUUUUGAAGGAAAACAACGAGAAGGACAAGGGAUUUGGUUAGAUAUCUCCCCAAUAUCAAUAUCAAAACGACCGUUUUAAUAAGUUUCAUAGAUAAAACUUUAGCGAACAAAUAUUAGUCGGUAAUUAGUCGGUACAAGUCAACCACAAAAAGCAUUAGCGAUCAAAUAUUAGUCGCUAAAAAGUUGAUAAGAUAGUCGCUAACUGGUCGAUAUUAAAGUGUCAUAUUUUUAUCACGAAAUCAUA